AGAAAACAGAACAAGGUUCUGUUAUUCACGAAAAGGAUUAGAAGGAUAAAGCCUUAGACAAAAACAGAACAAACUCAUGAAACAGAGAGUCACGAAACUCACGCAGGCAACGAAAAAUGGUUCUUUACAAAUCACUAAUCCUUGAACUCAGAAUCACUUGUUUGACUGGUGUCAAUUGGAAUGGGGUCUACGUAUUGGCUCGAGAAGUUUUGAGGUGAGUUGAUAUAAUCCUUUACCAAAAUGGUUUAACUUACAAAAGUAUGCAUACAAGGUGUUUGAUGAAUUGGCUAAAAGAGUGAAUAUGUACUUAAUUGAAGUGAGUGAGUAGCUCAUCUUACUUUUCCCAACUCAAAAGUUUUCUGCCUCACAUUUAAUUUCAAAUUGUUUCCCCUUAUGUAGCGGAAAUAAAGUUCCUACUAUUAGGUUUGUUCAGAAUCUGUAUUUUCAGUUUGAUACAGUCGUAUUAGAAACACAGUAAGAGUAAAUAUUGUGAGGAAUCCAAUUCAUA